rnacentral:rRNA from 1 species
CACGUAGGGCGCGAGCGUUGUCCGGAAUUAUUGGGCGUAAAGAGCUCGUAGGCGGCCUGUUGCGUCCGCUGUGAAAGCCCGGGGCUUAACCCCGGGUCGGCAGUGGAUACGGGCAGGCUAGAGGUAGGUAGGGGAGAAUGGAAUUCCUGGUGUAGCGGUGAAAUGCGUAGAUAUCAGGAGGAAUACCUAUGGCGAAAGCAGGUAUCUGGGCCAUCACUGACGCUGAGCUGCGAAAGCUAGGGGAGCAAACAGG